CGCGACUGGCGAACAAUGACAAUCGAUCGCGUCCGACGCCGUAGCCUACAACAGUACAACAAUAAAUUAUAGUCAACGGCGAACAGUUCUUUUCUCUCCGGUUCCCGGCGCUUCGGCGUCCGGCGUCCGCCGUUUGCCUUUUAAAUGUUGAUGCUUCGCCGCCAUUGAGGCGGCGCAGCGUUGUCGGUUUCGGGCAGCUUACAAGAUUUACAAACAUCGUCGUCGACUACUGUCCGCUGUGUCGCGAACUGCGAUUCAGUCUUCAUUGUUGUAAUUGUACGUGGCCCGCUACUCGCCGGCCGACAUCUUGUUUUCAUUUUUCUAAGUCAUUUCUCCAGCUAUCAGUCCGAUACUCCAGUUUAUUUAUCUGACGACGACAACCGUUCGAAUUCUAAUUAUUUCGUAGUUCUAUCGUUUACCAUUUUUGUAUCGAAAUCAUCGCUUCCCGUGGACUGGUCGAAUGUAUUACAAACCGCUCAGUCAAACCAACUCCGCGGAUCAAGAAUUUUUUCACCACGUUUGAUGAAAGGUCACUGGUUUAUUGACAUUUAGUAAAUAUCGACAAUGAUAAGCUUUUCUAAACACCGCAAUUUUGCCGUAACCAUAAAGAGACUUAGAACUGAAAAUAACCACUUCAAUAAUUCAAGAUAUCAGACAAGUUUAUUGAUAAACGACCUUCAAUAUAUCAUUGUUUCUCAAAUCCAGCUACGAUUAACACAGAUAUUCGUUGAUUUAAAUUACGGUUUGAAGAAUAUUUAUCAAAAUAAAAAUAAGUUUGUUUGGCCACGAGUAGAACAAGAAUAUUUAUACUAUAAAAAUACAGAAAAUGAAGAAAAUCAGUGAAGUGAAAGAAAUUUCAUUUAGAUUUAGGUUAGAAUUCAAAACAUGUCCAGAGUUUGAUAGAUAAAUGUGAUAAGUGUUUAGAUGUACGAUGAAUAGAAAACUUUGGCAGAGAAAAACGGUAUUGAGUUGAAAAAUACUCAUAUCAAGUUAUAAUUGUAAAAAAAAUGACGAGAGCACAGAUAUAAUUAUGAUAAUAAACGGAAAAU